AUUGAACGCUGGCGGCAGGCCUAACACAUGCCAGUCGAGCGGAUGAAGGGAGCUUGCUCCUGGAUUCAGCGGCGGACGGGUGAGUAAUGCCUAGGAAUCUGCCUGGUAGUGGGGGAUAACGUCCGGAAACGGGCGCUAAUACCGCAUACGUCCUGAGGGGGAAAGUGGGGGAUCUUCGGACCUCACGCUAUCAGAUGAGCCUAGGUCGGAUUAGCUAGUUGGUGGGGUAAAGGCCUACCAAGGCGACGAUCCGUAACUGGUCUGAGAGGAUGAUCAGUCACACUGGAACUGAGACACGGUCCAGACUCCUACGGGAGGCAGCAGUGGGGAAUAUUGGACAAUGGGCGAAAGCCUGAUCCAGCCAUGCCGCGUGUGUGAAGAAGGUCUUCGGAUUGUAAAGCACUUUAAGUUGGGAGGAAGGGCAGUAAGUUAAUACCUUGCUGUUUUGACGGUACCAACAGAAUAAGCACCGGCUAACUUCGUG
rnacentral:rRNA from 1 species